rnacentral:rRNA from 1 species
UACGGAGGGGGCAAGCGUUGUUCGGAAUUACUGGGCGUAAAGGGCGCGCAGGCGGCUGCUCAAGUCAGGCGUGAAAGGCCUGGGCUCAACCCGGGAAUUGCGCUUGAGACUGGGCUGGCUUGAGUGCGGGAGAGGAUGGUGGAAUUCCCAGUGUAGAGGUGAAAUUCGUAGAUAUUGGGAAGAACACCGGUGGCUAAGGCGGCUCUCUAGUACGGUACUGACGCUGAGACGCGAAAGCGUGGGGAGCAAACAGG